AUUUAAAUAAAUAAAAUGUACAAAUAAUCAAUAAUAGAUAAAUCAAGUACGGCUGUAAUCCUAACCUCAUUUAUAUGGGAGUAACCCCCAUUUACUUAACUGGGAUUACAUCAGAGUAGACAUGGUUAGGAUAGCAUUGCAAGGCAGGGUUGGCAACCUGUGGCCUUUCAGAUGUUGCAGGACUCCAACUCCCAUCAGCCUCAACCAUCAUGGCCAAUGGUCAAGCAUGAGGGUCACAGGCUGCCCAGAACACACAAUAUUUCGGCUCCCAUUCUGGAGGUGUGUGUUUGGGGGAGGAGCUUCUUCAUAAUGUCUUCCUGUGUACCAUUUUGGUAUGUUAGUCCUACUCAGAGUAGACUUAUUGAACCUAAUGGACAUGACUAACUUAACUUUAUUAAUUUCAGUAGGUCUGCUCUGAGUAGGACUUAGCUGAAUACAACCCCAUGACUUUUAUGUCUUCUCUCUUAUUUUAAUGACACAGAGUUAAUCUCUAACUCUGUGCAGUGUUUUGGGACAUCAGCUGUUGCCCUUGGUCUUUGGGUCCAUGAUCUCCUGAGCUAUUAACAUUAGACCUUUGUCUUUUCCCAGUGAAAUCCUGACUCCUUAUAAUGCCUGACAGACUUUCAGAAUUUGCUAAAGUUCUCCUGUGUACUUGUCAGCUUUUCAGCUGCGAGAUGUUUGAUCCUGUUUUUCUGAUCUCUUCAUUGAUUCCUUUUGGUUAUCUGGCUUUAUCUGGGGCUCUCUCAUCUGUUUCUCUUAAUGUUGCAUAUUUUUAUUGAUUUCUUGUUGUAUUAUUUUGAUUUUCCCAUGAGCUGCUUUGAAGAGACACCAGGAAACCAAGUUAUAUCUGGAAUGCUCAAGUGGAGCAAACAAAUAUCCCAAUUAGCAGCAAUUGCUUCUGGCCUGGUCUAAAGGUUGAAGUACAUCCGAUGGAAUUCAACAGCCUUACUCCCAGCACAGAAGUAGAUAGCAGAGUCAUUCAGACGGCUGGCAGAUCUCUCCAUGUUGAAGGUCUGAGUAUCGAGCUUGGCAUUAAACCCUUGACUGAGCCCCUCACCGGAGGUGGAACCUGCUCCAUAAUUACUCAGAAGGAGUCUGGGAGGUUGGCUGGGAUGCUGAAUGUACCAGAAUGCGCUGACUGUGCCAGAAUAUUUAUAGGAACAGUUGAGAGCAAAACGGUGUCCUUCGAGGGUAGUCACAGUGCCUUCCGUUUGGUCGACUGACUGUGCAACACUCCUUUCUGUAUAGAAGAUAAUGGCAGAAGAGAUGAUGUUAAAAAGAGAGAUGGGCAAGCAGGUGAAUGGGCAGGGGAUCUUGAGCACUUGAGGAUACAUGAAUCAAAAAGACCUCUUCCCAUGGUGGGGAAACGGAUCACUUACUUAAGACUGAGGUGAUGAUGAGCACAGCCAAGGCCCAAAGGAGAGACAUUUUUCCCAGAUCAAGAAGGAAAAGAGCAUGAAGGAACUGGGUCCACUCAGCUUCUGGGCUUUGCUCUGCAAACUUCAGCGUAUGAGAAGAUGUGAUGAAAUGUGGCUGGCUCCUUCCUCUCACUCCAGAUGUAGAAUAAGUUGCAGCUCUACAGAAGCACAGAGGCCCUAUCCUUGAUCUUCAUCGUAUCUAGUGAGAAAAGAAGAAAAGGCGAAGCCAACCUUUGAUAACAUUUGAGUUGCUGGCUGAAUUCAGUCUUUGUGCAUUCUUAUAUGAAACAACCUGAUCUGCACCUCUCAGGCUAACAUGUGGAUUGGAAGUUAGCUGCCCACUGGGAUCCUUAGAGCUUAUUUCCACAGGGGGGAAACACGCUUGUUUUUUUGUUCAGUCUUACAUUUUGCCUUCAGGAAACAGUGACAGCUGGAAGGACAAGUCGGCACAGUGGGCAAAAAAGAUGGGACCCCAAGUUUAAGCUUUCCAGUCCACCUCACAAAGGGAGGGAAAGAAGAAUAAAUUGCAUCA